GAAUGGUCAAGCGAACAAGGGCGCAGGGCGAAUGCCUUGGCACUGGGAGCCGAUGAAAGACGUGAUAAGCUGCGAUAAGCUUCGGGGAGCUGCAAAUAAGCAUUGAUCCGGAGAUCUCUGAAUGAGGAAACUCACUUGAGUUCAUACUCAAGUACGUUGUACUGAACUUCAAAAUAGGUACAUCGAGGGAACCGCCUGAACUGAAACAUCUAAGUAGGGCGAGGAAGAGACAUCAAACGAGAUUCCGUAAGUAGUGGCGAGCGAACGCGGAAGAGGGCAAACCGGGAGUCGAAAGACUUCCGGGGUACGGAGCGCAUUUAAGACUUAAGUUGUUAACCGAACGGCAUGGGAAGGCCGGUCAGAGAGUGUGAGAACCACGUAGGUGAAAACGAUGAGAGCUGAGCGAUUUCCAGAGUACGGCCGGACACGUGAAACCCGGUCGGAAUACGGGGGGACCACCCUCCAACCCUAAAUACUACCCAGUGACCGAUAGCGUAUAGUACUGUGAAGGAAAGGUGAAAAGCACCCCGGGAGGGGAGUGAAAAAGAACCUGAAACCCUGUGCCUACAAGCACCUAGAGCGCGUCAAAGCGUGAUAGGGUACUUUUUGUAGAACGGUCCGGCGAGCGAUUGUAUGCAGCAAGGUUAAGGACUUCAGGUCCGGAGCCGAAGCGAAAGCGAGUUUGAAAAGGGCGUUAAGUUGCAUAUAAUGGGCCCGAAACCGGGUGACCUACCCAUGGUCAGGUUGAAGUGGAAGUAAAAUUCCAUGGAGGACCGAACCGACCUCCGUUGAAAAGGCGGCGGAUGAACUGUGGGUAGCGGAGAAAUUCCAAUCGAACCCGGAGAUAGCUGGUUCUCCCCGAAAUAGUUUUAGGACUAGCCUCAAGUUAGAUAUCUGGAGGUAAAGCACUGAAUAGCCUAGCGGCCGAGAGGUUAGCGAAGCUUAUCAAACUCAGAAUGCCAGAAUAUUGAUGCUUGGGAGUCAGACAGUGUCAGAUAAAUGUCAUUGUCAAAAGGGAAACAGCCCAGAUCUACAGCUAAGGUCCCAAAGUUAGGUUAAGUGGAAAACGAUGUGAAGAUACGCAGACAACCAGGAUGUUGGCUCAGAAGCAGCCACUCAUUCAAAGAGUGCGUAAUAGCUCACUGGUCGAGCGUCUUUGCGCGGAGAAUUUAACGGGGCUAAACCUAACACCGAAGCUUAGGCAAUGUACUUUGUACAUUGGGUAGGGGAGCGUUGUAUACGCGGCGAAACAGUAGCGCAAGCGGCUGUGGAGUGUAUAGAAGUGAGAAUGCCGGAAUGAGUAGCGCGAAUGCAGUGAGAAUCUGCAUGGCCGAAAGCCUCAGGUUUUUGGAGGAAGGUUCGUCCGCUCCAAGUUAGUCGGGAGCUAAGGUGAGGCCGAGAGGCGUAGCCGAUGCACAGACGGUAGAGAUUCCGUCACCACCAAAAGAGUUAAGCACAGGGACACAUUUGAAGUCUCAGAGCCGGGUGUUGGUUCCGGUAGAGAUCGAGGGAAGUUAGUACCGAAGUCUGGGAUGGAAGAUGGCGAGAAAAGCUGUGUGGAUUUCUGAGGUGCCCGUACCGCAAACCGACACAGGUAGGUAGGAAGAAGAUUCUAAGGCCAACGGGAGAAGGGUUGUUAAGGAACUCGGCAAAUUGACCCCGUAACUUCGGGAGAAGGGGUGCUCCAGAGAUGGAGCCGCAGAGAAUCGGCCCAAGCAACUGUUUACCAAAAACACAGGUUUGUGCUAAAUCGAAAGAUGACGUAUACGAGCUGACGCCUGCCCGGUGCUGGAAGGUUAAGAGGAGAUGUGCAAGCAUUGAAUCGAAGCCCCAGUGAACGGCGGCCGUAACUAUAACGGUCCUAAGGUAGCGAAAUUCCUUGUCAGGUAAGUUCUGACCCGCAUGAAAGGCGUAAUGAUUUGGGCACUGUCUCAACAGCCCGCCCGGCGAAAUUGUAGUACCGGUGAAGAUGCCGGUUACCCGCGACAAGACGGAAAGACCCCAUGGAGCUUUACUGUAGCCUAAUAUUGGGUUUCGAUGUUGCAUGCACAGGAUAGAUGGGACUCUGGGAAACCAGUGCUUUGGCGCUGGCGGAGAGGCCGUUGGGAUACCAUCCUUGCGAUAUUGGAAUUCUAACCUGCGGCUCUGAAUCGAGUCGGGGGACAUUGUUAGGUGGGCAGUUUGACUGGGGCGGUCGCCUCCUAAAAAGUAACGGAGGCGUUCAAAGGUUCGCUCAGCUUGAACGGAAAUCAAGCAAAAGAGUGCAAACGCAGAAGCGAGCCUAACUGCGAGACUGACGGGUCGAGCAGUAACGAAAGUUGGAGUUAGUGAUCCGGUGGUAUGUGAGUGGAAAUGCCAUCGCUCAACGGAUAAAAGUUACCCUGGGGAUAACAGGCUGAUCUCCCCCAAGAGUCCACAUCGACGGGGAGGUUUGGCACCUCGAUGUCGGCUCAUCGCAUCCUGGGGCUGUAUUCGGUCCCAAGGGUUUGGCUGUUCGCCAAUUAAAGCGGUACGCGAGCUGGGUUCAGAACGUCGUGAGACAGUUCGGUCCCUAUCUGUCGUGGGCGCAGGAUAUUUGAUGGGAGCUGUCCCUAGUACGAGAGGACCGGGACGGACGUACCUCUGGCGCACCAGUUGUUCUGCCAAGAGCAUAGCUGGGCAACUACGUACGGAUCGGAUAAACGCUGAAAGCAUCUAAGCGUGAAGCCGACCCAAAGAUAAGAUAUCCCACUGUUUCAGACAGGUAAGAUCCCUUGAAGACUACAAGGUUGAUAGGCACGAUGUGUAAGUGGAGUGAUCCAUUCAGCAAGCGUGUACUAAUAGAUCGAGGGCUUGACCACA
rnacentral:rRNA from 1 species